rnacentral:lncRNA from 1 species
GCGGAUCAGGUUCAUCUGUUUAAAUUUAAUUAAUUUCUUGUUAAUUUCAGAACUAAGCAAAAUCCAAAAAUAAUUCUAUUGGACACAGCCCAAAAGGGCCCAGAGUUGGCCCAUAAUGGGCAUGGCCCAAUAGGGCCCAUAUCGAAUACGACCCAAUGGGCCCGCAUAGACCCAGCUAAAUAGGGCCCCCAAGGUUGGCUUCUAAUUGGUUCAUUUAUGCAAUAAAAUUUAUUGCAGGGACUAAUACUUAAUUACAGAAUACUAUUCUAUAAAGCUUGAAUGGACUAAAUAAAUAUAGUUGGGGACCUUUAUGUAAUAAAUCUUUCUUAGGGAUCAAACAUAAAUUACAGAAGGCUCUUUUGUGCAAUAGUAUACUAUCAAGGGCUUAACUGUAAAAUUUCAUUUAUUGGCCAAACGGGUUCGAAUUUCGGGUUCUGGGUUUCAAGUUUCGGAUUC